rnacentral:rRNA from 1 species
GAUGAACGCUGGCGGCGUGCCUAACACAUGCAAGUCGAACGGAAAGGCCCUGCGCUUGUGGGGUGCUCGAGUGGCGAAGGGGUGAGUAACACGUGAGUAACCUGCCCUUGACUUUGGGAGAACUUCAGGAGACUGGGGCUAAUACCGGAUAGGAUCUCCUGCUGCAUGGUGGGGGUUAGAAAGUUUCGGCGGUUGGGGAUGGACUCGCGGCUUAUCAGCUGGUUUGUGGGGUAGUGGCUUACCAAGGCUUUGACGGGUAGCCGGCCUGAGAGGGUGACCGGCCACAUUGGGACUGAGGUACGGCGCAGACUCCUACGGGAGGCAGUAGUGGGGAAUCUUGCACAGUGGGCGGGAGCCUGAUGCAGAAGCGUCGCGUGCGGAAUGACGGCCUUCGGGUUGUAAACCGCUUUCGCCUGUGACGAAGCGUGAGUGACGGUAAUGAGUAAAGAAGCACCGGCUAACUACGUG